CCAGUAUGUGAUUUAAUCCACAGGUACCUGAUGAACACAUUAUUGUCAGAUUGGUUACAGUUGCUAAACGCUAUCUGAAGGUCAUUCCUAGUCAUUUAUACGUGUCAGGGUAAAAGUGAAGCGAUUUGAACUAUAAAAAUACCUUUGAAAUAAUUUAUCAAUGUAUUAGAUAAGCUCAGUUUCAGAAUGAUAAACAAAAACUGUUAGACCAAAUAACGUGGCUAAUUAACAGUGGUACGAUUUCUAGCCCGAGGGUUUAAAAUGGAGUUAAAGUAAGUGUCUUUAAACUGAACUCAAAGAAUGCAAAAGCGGCAAGUUCAGACAAGGCAAGAACAGGACCUUUAGUCCAUUUUAAGCCAUAAAUAUUACACAAAAUAUGCCUCUAACUGAAACUGAGAGGUAUAAAAACAUAUUUCACUCUUCGUAAAGAACUUUGUGAGGAAAUAUAACUCUGUGAUUGUAUAGACACUUUCCUCAUGACACUUUGACAGUCACAAACAGUAGAUUGCGCUGCAGUUUGUAAACAUUUUACGUUGCAUAAACUGCUCCUUGAUUUUCAAAUGUAGUAUAAUACUGUCUACUAAAACUCCUUUUUGUUUCAACUAAGUACUCUCACAUAUAUUAGUUUAUAAUAAUGUUUGUUAUUAUUUUUAAAGUGUUCUCCAUUCAAGGAAAAGAAGUAAAUUCCUAUGUCAGAUGGUUGAAGACUAGCUAUUAGCCAGAGAGGUCUAGAUGGUAAAAUCCAUCUUCUAGCCUCAGAUAAGCUCCAUGAACACAGAGGAAUGCCAGGUGUCACACAGCUUUCCUUCACUCGAAUUCAUUCUUGACUAGAGCCUGUAUAUGCCUGUUCCAGGGGCAUUUAAACUCUUAAAGGAUUUCUUCUGAUCUUUACUAAAUACAUUAAGGAGAACGCCAACCAGUGCCCUUUUGUGUACUGGGACAUGUAGUCAUGUGAUUAAAACAGGGAACAUGAACUCUGACUUUAAAAUGUAUUGUAGAUAUAAAUGCUCUCAGCUAGAAAAGGUUUUCCACAUCCACAGUCAUGAUGGGAGCCUUUCAUUCCUCAGAAAUAAUCCCUUUUCAGGUCAUCAAAAAAGAGUACAACUGCCACAGCUCAUGAGGCAGUAUCUUCAUGAGCCCAGAGCACAUACAAAUCCUAAGGGAACUACCGUAGUACAGCGCUCAUUCUUGGCACCGGAACAAAUGAAACAUAUUCUAUCCUGCACACACCUGCCAAAGCAGGCCACUUUCCUCUUCUGGGAGAUUUAAAAACCUCCCCAAAAUGUUAUUACUCCCAUCCCCAAUACACAGAAAAAGGGGGAAAGGCUGUUUCCAGUGCUCCACCUUUAAACAACUGUAAAUGUCAGUACUCACAGUGGCAUAUUACAAAGUAAUAGACCGCGCACUUGAGGGCAAACCACAUAUUGAGCUAAUGAAGAGCUCACUGUGAUUAGGAUUCGAUCAAACAUAACAGCAGAACAUAAGGAAAUUUUAUCUGAAUUCCGUAAUGAAUAUACAGGCUGUACUAACAUUAAAAAAGCAUGGCAGCCUAUCCCAAACCAGCAAGAACAGUUGUGUGCAUACAGUGGGUCUUUGUGUGUUUGAACUCCCACCACAUAAGGGCAAACUCGAUAUGCAUGCUAACGUCCUAUAAUUAUCAAAUUAAAAAAAUGCUAAAAGAUGCC
rnacentral:lncRNA from 1 species